rnacentral:snoRNA from 2 species
CCCCUCUCAGGAUCGCACCUGGAGAGUUUCCAGUACUCUACCGGUUACGGGAGGGAGAGUCAAGCAGAGGCAUACCCAUUCCAUUCCUAACUUGGGCAGUGGCUAGCGAGUGGAAGGCAAUCUGCUACAAGU